GAUGAACGCUGGCGGCGUGCCUAAUACAUGCAAGUCGAGCGAACGGACGAGAAGCUUGCUUCUCUGACGUUAGCGGCGGACGGGUGAGUAACACGUGGAUAACCUACCUAUAAGACUGGGAUAACUUCGGGAAACCGGAGCUAAUACCGGAUAAUAUUUUGAACCGCAUGGUUCAAAAGUGAAAGACGGUCUUGCUGUCACUUAUAGAUGGAUCCGCGCUGCAUUAGCUAGUUGGUAAGGUAACGGCUUACCAAGGCAACGAUGCAUAGCCGACCUGAGAGGGUGAUCGGCCACACUGGAGCUGAGACACGGUCCAGACUCCUACGGGAGGCAGCAGUAGGGAAUCUUCCGCAAUGGGCGAAAGCCUGACGGAGCAACGCCGCGUGAGUGAUGAAGGUCUUCGGAUCGUAAAACUCUGUUAUUAGGGAAGAACAUAUGUGUAAGUAACUGUGCACAUCUUGACGGUACCUAAUCAGAAAGCCACGGCUAACUACGUG
rnacentral:rRNA from 1 species